rnacentral:tRNA from 1 species
UCCCUGAAGGUCCAGUGGUUAAGACUCUGCACUUCUGGGGUAGGGGCACAGGUUCAAUCCCUGGUCAGGGAA